AUUGAACGCUGGCGGCAUGCCUUACACACGCAAGUCGAACGGUAACGGGCCUUCGGGUGCCGACGAGUGGCGAACGGGUGAGUAAUGUAUCGGAACGUACCUUUCAGUGGGGGAUAACGUAGCGAAAGUUACGCUAAUACCGCAUAUUCUGUGAGCAGGAAAGCAGGGGAUCGCAAGACCUUGCGCUGAUUGAGCGGCCGAUAACAGAUUAGCUAGUUGGUGAGGUAAAGGCUCACCAAGGCUACGAUCUGGAGCGGGUCUGAGGGGAUGAUCCGCCACACUGGACAGGAGCCACGGCACAGACUCCUACGGGGGGCAGCAGUGGGGAAUUUUGGACAAUGGGGGCAACCCUGAUCCAGCCAUGCCUCGUGAGUGAAGAAGGCCUUCGGGUUGUAAAGCUCUUUCGGCCGGGAAGAAAUCGUAUCAGCUAAUACCUGGUGCGGAUGACGGUACCGGCAUAAGAAGCACCGGCUAACUACGUGCCAGCCGCCGCCGUAACAC
rnacentral:rRNA from 1 species